rnacentral:tRNA from 1 species
GGGCCGGUAGAUCAGCCUGGUAUGAUCGCCCGCUUGGCAUGCGGGAGGUCGCGGGUUCAAAUCCCGCCCGGUCCA